rnacentral:rRNA from 1 species
AUUGAACGCUGGCGGCAGGCCUAACACAUGCGAGUCGAGCGGAUGAAGGGAGCUUGCUCCUGGAUUCAGCGGCGGACGGGUGAGUAAUGCCUAGGAAUCUGCCUGGUAGUGGGGGAUAACGUCCGGAAACGGGCGCUAAUACCGCAUACGUCCUGAGGGAGAAAGUGGGGGAUCUUCGGACCUCACGCUAUCAGAUGAGCCUAGGUCGGAUUAGCUAGUUGGUGGGGUAAAGGCCUACCAAGGCGACGAUCCGUACUGGUCUGAGAGGAUGAUCAGUCACACUGGAACUGAGACACGGUCCAGACUCCUACGGGAGGCAGCAGUGGGGAAUAUUGGACAAUGGGCGAAAGCCUGAUCCAGCCAUGCCGCGUGUGUGAAGAAGGUCUUCGGAUUGUAAAGCACUUUAAGUUGGGAGGAAGGGCAGUAAGUUAAUACCUUGCUGUUUUGACGUUACCAACAGAAUAAGCACCGGCUAACUUCGUG